UACGAAGGGGGCGAGCGUUGUUCGGAUUUACUGGGCGUAAAGGGCGCGUAGGCGGCCCUGUUUGUCAGGCGUGAAAGCCCUGGGCUCAACCUGGGAAUUGCGCUUGGGACGGCGGGGCUUGAGAUCGGGAGAGGAGAGUGGAAUUCCCAGUGUAGAGGUGAAAUGCGUAGAGAUCGGGAGGAACACCUGUGGCGAAGGCGGCCGACUGGGCAGUUUUGCUGACACUGAGGCGCGACAGCGUGGGGAGCAAACAGG
rnacentral:rRNA from 1 species